rnacentral:rRNA from 1 species
UUUGAACGCUGGCGGCAGGCCUAACACAUGCAAGUCGAACGGUAACAGGAAGAAGCUUGCUUCUUUGCUGACGAGUGGCGGACGGGUGAGUAAUGUCUGGGAAACUGCCUGAUGGAGGGGGAUAACUACUGGAAACGGUAGCUAAUACCGCAUAACGUCGCAAGACCAAAGAGGGGGACCUUCGGGCCUCUUGCCAUCGGAUGUGCCCAGAUGGGAUUAGCUAGUAGGUGGGGUAACGGCUCACCUAGGCGACGAUCCCUAGCUGGUCUGAGAGGAUGACCAGCCACACUGGAACUGAGACACGGUCCAGACUCCUACGGGAGGCAGCAGUGGGGAAUAUUGCACAAUGGGCGCAAGCCUGAUGCAGCCAUGCCGCGUGUAUGAAGAAGGCCUUCGGGUUGUAAAGUACUUUCAGCGGGGAGGAAGGGAGUAAAGUUAAUACCUUUGCUCAUUGACGUUACCCGCAGAAGAAGCACCGGCUAACUCCGUG